rnacentral:rRNA from 1 species
UACGGGGGGGGCAAGCGUUGUUCGGAAUUACUGGGCGUAAAGGGCUCGUAGGCGGCCAACUAAGUCAGACGUGAAAUCCCCAGGCUCAACCUGGGAACUGCGUCUGAUACUGGAUGGCUUGAAUUCGGGAGAGGGAUGCAGAAUUCCAGGUGUAGCGGUGAAAUGCGUAGAUAUCUGGAGGAAUACCGGUGGCGAAGGCGGCAUCCUGGACUGACGCUGAGGUGCGAAAGCGUGGGGAGCAAACAGG